rnacentral:rRNA from 1 species
AGAGUUUGAUCCUGGCUCAGAACGAACGCUGGCGGCGUGGAUAAGACAUGCAAGUCGGACGAGAUUUUUCGUUGUAGCAAUACGAUGGAAAGUCUAGUGGCGAACGGGUGCUUAACACGUGGGCAAUCUGUCUUAAAGUGGGGGAUAGCUCGGCGAAAGCCGAAUUAAUACCGCAUGUGAUUAGCGGAGACAUCUUCGCGAAAUUAAAGGUGGCGCAAGCUACCGCUUUUUGAGGAGCCCGCGGCCUAUCAGCUAGUUGGUGAGGUAACGGCUCACCAAGGCUUUGACGGGUAGCUGGUCUGAGAGGACGACCAGCCACACUGGGACUGAGACACGGCCCAGACACCUACGGGUGGCAGCAGUCGAGAAUUUUUCUCAAUGGGGGAAACCCUGAAGGAGCGACGCCGCGUGGAGGAUGAAGGUCUUCGGAUUGUAAACUCCUGUCAUUGGGGAACAAGUCGCUUACGUUAACUGCGUGAGCGUUGAUAGUACCCGAAGAGGAAGAGACGGCUAACUCUGUGCCAGCAGCCGCGGUAAUACAGAGGUCUCAAGCGUUGUUCGGAUUCAUUGGGCGUAAAGGGUGCGUAGGCGGCGCGGUAAGUCGGGUGUGAAAUCUUGGAGCUUAACUCCGAAACUGCAUUCGAUACUGCCGUGCUUGAGGACUGGAGAGGAGACUGGAAUUUACGGUGUAGCGGUGAAAUGCGUAGAUAUCGUAAGGAAGACCAGUGGCGAAGGCGGGUCUCUGGACAGUUCCUGACGCUGAGGCACGAAGGCCAGGGGAGCAAACGGGAUUAGAUACCCUAGUAGUCC